UGUCAAAGCAUGUGCUGAAACAACAUUCAACAUGUUGUGGCGACGCUACCUGCCUUAUAUUGAAAAAAUAAAGCCUAUGUCUGACUUGUGUGCCACUUGUAAAGAGAUAAGUGGACUGAUUAUAAGAAGUGCUAACAUGCAAUCAGAUGAAAGGAUAACUGAGGCAAUGCAAAAGGCACUAGAUCACAGAAGUCUUGUUAAAAAGGAAAGGGAGUACUAAAAGGAUGUAUUAAAAGAGGCACAAUUAUUGUUAAAAGGGCUGUAUACUGAUGCAGCAAACAAUUACAAUCCCCCACUAAAAAGGCCACUUGCUAUGUUAAAUAUUGUAGCACAUUAUAGCUUCGAUUAUGCUCAACAGGUUCACUAUCCUUCAAGUCCACUACAAGCAGGUCCAAUUUAUUUUCUUACUCCCAGGAAAUGUGGCAUAUUUGGUGUGUGCUGUGAAGCUAUCUCUCAGCAGGUUAAUUUCUUGAUCGAUGAAUCAUUCGACACUGGUAAGGGGGCAAAUCCUGUCAUAAGCAUGGUACAUUUUUAUUUGAAGAAUCAUGGCCUCAACUCAGUCAGUAUCCAUUUCAAUGCUGACAACUGCACAGGGCAAAAUAAAAAUAAUACAGUUAUUCAAUACCUCUUAUGGAGAGUCAUGACAGGACUCAAUGCGUCCAUUUCAAUAUCUUUUCUGCCAGUUGGACACACAAAAUUUUCUCCUGACUGGUG